rnacentral:lncRNA from 1 species
CUGAACCCGUGUCAGAUCCACACUGCAGUACUUUAAUCGUUUGAUUCGAAUAUAAGUAAGAAAUAGUUAUUUCAGGGAUAAGGUAUAAGAUGAGGUAUAAUUAAGGUGGGUAUAGAGUAAUUUUGUGUUUGAUUGUGAGUAUUGAGUUUAGUCAGGUAUAAGUGAAAUAGUAUUUGGUUGGAGUAAGUAAGUAAAAUAAGAAGGAUAGUGGGUGAUUAUAAAUAAAAAAUAAUAAUAUUGCCCUCUUUAUUAUGUGUGAAUUAAAAUUUUUAAAUUUUAUAUUUAAAAUUUUAAAUUUAAAUAUAUAACUCUUAAAUUUUAAAAAAUACAAAAUUAAAAAUUGAAUUUAAAAAUCUCAAAUACGAAAAUUCAAAGUUCUAAAUUUUUAAUUUCAAAUUUUAAAUUUAAGAUCAAAUCUAAAUUUAGAAAUAUAAAAUCUUAAAUUUUAAAUUUAAAAAUUUAAAUAUAUCAAAUUUAAAAUUUAUAAUUUAAAUUCUAAAAUUUAGAAUUUAAAAUUAUAAAUUUUAAUUUUAAGAUUACAAAUUAUCAAUUUUUAAAAUUUAUAAUUUACAUUUUAAUUUUAAAUUAGAUAAGGGUAGGAAUAGUUAUU